UGACAAAGUGGAGUGACUUUUACUAGCUGAGGAAUCUGCCCUGAAAUUAUGUGGUGAAUCCUAAGAAAUGAAAUAUAUAGGUUAGCUUUAGACUUUGGCAUUAGACACUGACAAGAAUAUUUGGGUCAAGAUUCCUAAAGUCAUGUCCUUAAGCAAUAAUGCUUAUAAAAUACGUGACUGUGUUGUAAUAACAUACAGCUGAGUGCUUCCAUCACCCAAGAAGUGUUAUGUUAAGACUAAUAUACAUCCUGUAAUAACCGUUUCUUUAUAAAAUGCAUUGUUCAUUUUUAUAUUUAGUUAUGCUGUAGCACUCAUUUCCUUCCUGCAUUUAAAAAAUGUGUUUCUUGCUCUUUUAUGACACUGUCUCAAGUGCCUCACCCUACACAACAUACUUCUUUAAAUUUAAGAUGAUCUGCACUUGACUUCUGUUUUUGCUGGAGGUGGACAGUGACAUCACAAUAGUCUGAACACUGAGCUGCAGCUUUCUGAGCCAUGAACUAAGCGGGGUGUUGACUUAGAUAAUUUGUGUUGUGAUUAUUCUAAUGGUCACAUAGUGAUAGCUGCUUACACUGCCUGAGACUUGGAAAGAUGUAGGUCAGGUUUCUGAUAUUGUCAUUAUUCUUCUCCAGCAAAAUUGGAAGUUCAAGCCUGGAUAAUCCUAAAGUGGCCAAACAUAAGAUGGGCUCAGUUUUUAAAAAUGUCCUACAUCACAAAGAUGCCAUGAAGAGAACACACAUUUUGUGUGUAGUUCAACUGUAAAACUUAGCUGUGUGAUUUCCACCUCUGGGUACGUUUACACAGCAAAAAAACUCUCCUGAUAGUGAAUCUUAGUGCAAGCCUGAGUCAGCUGGCCCAGGCUCUAUGGGGCUAAAACUCGUGGUGCAGACGUUUGGGCUCAGGCUGGAACCUAGGCUCUUGAGUCCUGGCAAGGAGGAAGGGUCUCAGAGUCCAGGCUCCAGCCCAAGCAUAUACACUGCUAUUUUUAGCUCUGUAGCACAAGCCCCAUGAUUUCAAGUCAGUUGACGUGGGCUCUGAGCCUUGCUGCAGUGUUUUGUUUUUGUUCAUUUUCCUGCAUAGAUGUACCCUUAGUCUCAAGACAACCAAGCUGAUGGCCAUGAUGUGACAAGAUGUGCAGUAGCCAUUUGGAUGAUUUGAUUUCCUCCAAUCUAUUAUGAUGGUACUUGGGAAUGAGGGGGCUCCAGUCUGAGAUUAUCUCAGAAGAAAUACCUGAAUUGUGGAGCCAUGUACAUCUAUUAAGACAGAGAGUUGAAGACAAAGAACCUGUCAGUCUAGGUUCAAAAUCCUAAAGUACCCAUACAGAGGAAAAACUUGGUAAGAUUUACCCUCUGGAACUGCCAAAGAAGAUAUGUGAGAUUCCAAAGAUGUUCUUGUGCCUGAACUGGAGUCACUUUAAAGCUCUAGUUGCUCAUGAUUUUAGCUUGGUGUCACAAGAGCUGGAGAUCUGAGGGCUCCUGCAUACAGCCCUAUAUAUGACCUGCUUCUACAAUAUUAGAGAGAAAAUUUCAAAGCAGGAAAGACAGACCAGUGAUUUCAAAAAUACCAAACACCUCCUACCCACAUCCUCAGAAAUGUAUUUUAGAUCCAUGGUUACACAGAUUUUUCUGCUUCCACUAUUUCUCUUCCACUCUCUAUCAGGUGGUGAUUUCAGAAAGUCAAACCCUAUAGAUAUUUUUCCAAAGAGGACCUCAGUUGCCUAACAGCACAUAUUCAGAUUUGUACAACUUCCUUCUGAUUUAAUCUUUAAGAAGCAAGGAGCUUUGCCCAGGAGACAGAAAAAGAUAUUCCUAUCUACUCAAGUGCAGAGACCCAUUGUUUACUGAAUGUACUUCUCCCACAUGCUCUGAUUCCAAAUUCCCAUAGAAAGAGAAACAACAAAAGCUGCUGUCAAGGGAUAAAACAAGAAUGCUGCUUGGCUGGUGGGGGUAUUAUCAAGGAGAUGUGGUCUGGAAAUGGUAGUUUCAUAAAUGCACAUAAUCCAAGAAGGCAACUACUACUUGGAUAACCAGAUUCAGCAAUUGUUGCCACAGACACCACUAGGGGAAGGAUUGGCACUAAGGUACCUAGAAAGACCAGGAACCGAAGAAACAAACUGAUCACUUGUGACACAGAGCUAGGAGGCAUUCAGCCUGGCUAGAAUUAUCAAAUAGUUAUCAGAUAACCAGUAAGUCAACUAUGGAGGAACUCUCUUUCUGGAGGAAUGGAACAGGAAGCUAUAAGGGACAUAGCUGAUGGGCAUCCUUGCAGUUUGGUAGCUGUUUGCCUUGUGACAGGUUAUUCAAUCAUCCUGAAAAUGCAAACAAACAAUUGUCAGUAGUGAUUCCAUAUUAAGAAGAGCGGAAAGAGAACUCAGCAAGGGACAGAAGGAUAACAGGAUGGUGUGUUGUCUCCCUGGAGCAAAUAUUUGACAUGUAAUUACAUGAUUGGACAGGAUUAUGAAGUAAAUUGGCAAGUCUCCACUGCUGAUGAAACAUUAGAACCAAUGACUUCGCAUCACAUGGAACUAUACAGAUUACAAGAGACUUAGAUUUUGAAAAGAAGCUGAAGAAGAUAAGACCAAAUGUUAUUCUCAUAGAUCCUUCUGGUCCCAUGAAUAGAAGGCUGAAGGAGAUGAAUUGCUGGCUGCACUACUAGUGGAUAUUUUGAGGAGCAGUAGGCCACAUUCCAGUGCGAGAAGGAGCACUACGAAUGAGAUGGCCUGCAUCUCUCAGGCUGGGAGUAAUGGGGGCUAAAUUUCUCAGCUGGAGACUAGCAGAAGCAGCCUGGAAAGCAUUAACCUAACAAAGAAAGGUGAGAGUGGAGGAGGCAAAUGUGGUAAGAACUCAAAUUCAACAUGUUCCAAACACACUGAACAGAUGUGGGAAAGCAUGUGAAGAGAAGAAAUUGUUUAACCAUGCUAGAACUACAAGUAGCAAGCAAGAGGAACUGAACAUUCUCAAUGAAUAGAAAAUUGAUAUUGACCUUAAUGAAACGGGUAGGACAAGUCAUAGGUCUGCAAUGUCAAAUAUCAUUGGUUAUAACUUGCUUAGGAAGGACAGUGACACCAUUACCUGUUUCAGAGUUAUGAUAAAUGCAAAACUAUAGGAUCUUGACUGCAUAUAGAUCACUGUGCUAACUACUGGGGAGACCUGUUAUAGACCACCAAAUCGAAACAGGCUGUUCUUAAACUGCCCUCUAAGUUACUCCUUUUGUACCUGUUUAAUGUAUGGGGGAAAAAAUGGUUGUUAUGGAGGACUUCAAUUUGAGAUUCAUGAAACAGAGGUUUUAUGCAGCUGGUAGUAAAACAUUGGAAUUUAUAAA